CAGAGAGACUGCAGAACAGAUGUGAUGACUUGGGUGACAGACAGUAAGCGUGCUGAACAGUCCGAGAUAUUGUAUAGUCACUACGAGUACCGUCCCCAUCGCUGAGAUGACAGAACACCUGUUGCAGGUUCUCGGUGUGAGCUGGUUACUGUGCUUCAGCCGCGGCCUCAAGGUGACCCAGGAACAGGCGUAUUUAGCAGCCAAGAUAAAUUCCUCCGUAGCUCUGUCUUGUGCGCACGAUGACACAAAUUACUUGUACGUUUACUGGUACCAGCAGCGACGCGGCGAGGCGAUGCAGCUCAUGAUCUUAUCAAUAAAUGCUAAGGAGGAAGAAAUGGAGUCGCUGUAUAAUUCAGGGUGGAGAAUGCGGAGAGCUGAGGUGCUGAGCUCCACGCUGACAGUAACGACGGCCCAGGUCCAGGAUUCGGCGGUGUAUUUCUGUGCAGUGAGCACACAGCAGGACAAGUCUGAGCUGCAAGCAGCGUAAAACCUUCUCCCAGCUCGUCUACGGCGCUGAGGAAGGAGAGAGGAGGGGGCCUCACCGCACGCAGGGCACUUACUGACUUCCCAAGUAUCAGAUCCUUAUCAGUGCACCACACAUGUCACUAAGCCUCACCGCCAUCACUGACAGAUAUUUACAUUCAUAUCACGUAACUGAUGCAGAUUUGUGGACAUUGUAAUUGCAUGAUGUAGAAGUAUAAGAACCAAAUGACUAAGGAGCAUAUGGGGGUCAUUCCGAGUUGAUCGCUAGCUGAAUUCAUUCGCAGCGCAGCGAUGAGGCUAAAAAUUGGCACGUCUGCACAUGCGUAUGCGGCGCACUGCGUAUGCGCAACGUACUUUCACAAUGGCCGAUGUAGUUUCACACAAGGUCUAGCGGUGCAUUUCGGUCGCACUGCUGGCCGCAGAGUGAUUGACAGGAAGUGGGCGUUUCUGGGUGUCAACUGACCGUUUUCAGGAGUGUUGGAAAAAACGCAGGCGUGCCUGGAAAAACGCAGGCAAGCCAGGAAAAACGCAGGGUGUGUUUGUGACGUCAAAUCCGGAACUGAACAGUCUGAAGUGAUCGCAGGCGCUGAGUAGGUUUAGAGCUACUCUGAAACUGCACAAAAAAACUUUGUAGCCGCUCUGCGAUCCUUUCGUUCGCACUUCUGCUAAGCUAAAAUACUCUCCCAGUGGGCGGCGGCAUAGCGUUUGCACGACUGCUAAAACUGGUAGCGAGCGAUCAACUCGGAAUGAGCCCCUAUGUACUAAGCCUUGGGGAGAGAUAAAGUGGAGAGAGAGAAUGUGCCAACCAACCAAUCAGCUCCUAGCUGUCAUUUUUGAAACACCAUGGCGGUUAGGAGCUGGUUGGCUGGUUCUUCAUCUCCGUCCACUUUAUGGACCUAAUUCAGACCUGAUGGCUGGUGCGAGAAUUCGCACAGCGGGCGAUUAUCGAAUGACUGCACAUGCGUACGGAUUGUAAUGCGCAGGCACGGCGCAAAACAGCAAAAACAUCCAGAGUUUUUUUGAUCGCUAGGCGUACGCAGGCUGAUUGACAGGAAGCGUUUGGGGUGGUAACUGGCUGUUUUCUGGGAGUGUCAGGGAGAACGCAGGCGUGUCCAAGUGUUAUCAGGGAGGGUGUGUGACGUCAGCUCCGGCCCCCAUCAGCCUGAUUCCAUCGCACUGUAGGAGUAAGUCCUGGGCUGCGCACACACUGGAAAAAUUAUUAGAUGGUGAGUGAGUUGCAAACAGAUUAGCAGAUGUCGCUGUCUGGGGAAGUUUUUGCACGGCGUACACAUGCGUACACACUUGCACGGGGUGGGUCUUCACUCUAUGGGCGGCAGCUAUCUGAUCGCAGACCUCUGCAAAAACGCACAGCAGCGUCCAGCUCUGAAUUAGGCCCUGUAUCUCUCCAAGGCUUAGUACAUUGGGCCUUUAUUUUGUUAAUUCAGGUACCUGGGGGAAAGGUGACAGCCUGUGAGAUGGGGGCAUCGGCGCGAUUCCGCAGUCUGACCCAUUUUUUUUUUAUAGCAGCAAAGCAAUCAUUUUAAAGGUAGAACUAGCCUGUCUUCAGUGUUGGCUGGAUAUAUCUGUAUCAAAGUGUCUUGAAUGUUACCUGUGUGUGACGGCACCUCUGCAUACAUGCACCUCUCCUUGCUAUGUCAUCUAAAUGAUGUCAUCAAGAAUUAAAAGACGCGGCACAUCAAGCCGACACACACAGCGCUGCAUAUAAACUCCCACCUUAAAGCAGUCAAAUGUAAUGUGAAAGUUUUGUAUAUAAUCAGUUAUUGCAGCCAGAGGCAUAUCUACCCAUUGGCCAGGAUGGCACUCGCCAAGGGUGCCAGCCAAUGAGGGGCACCACCCGACGGUGCCACCCUGCGGCCAGGGGUAGAUACACUUCGUAGAG